ensembl:snoRNA
CAGCCCAUUUCAUUAUCUUGUUCUCUGCCUUUGUGAGAGCAGUGAUAUUUCUGAUGGUGCUAGAGUAACACUGGAGGGUAAUUAGCAGUGCGGCUGAGUAUGUAGCCGUUGUUGUCAGUCUCCUUCAAACAUUU